AGUGAACGCUGGCGGUAGGCCUAACACAUGCAAGUCGAACGGCAGCACAGGAGAGCUUGCUCUCUGGGUGGCGCGUGGCGGACGGGUGAGGAAUACAUAGGAAUCUUCAUAGUCGUGGGGGAUAACGUAGGGAAACUUACGCUAAUACCGCAUACGACCUUCGGGUGAAAGAGGGGGAUCGCAAGACCUCUCGCGCUAGGAUGUGCCGAUGUCGGAUUAGCUAGUUGGCGGUGUAAUGACCCACCAAGGCGACGAUCCGUAGCUGAUCUGAGAGGAUGAGCAGCCACACUGAAACUGAAACACGGUCCAGACUCCUACGAGUAGCAGCAGUGGGGAAUAUUGGACAAUGGGCGCAAGCCUGAUCCAGCCAUACCGCGUAGGUGAAGAAGGCCUUCGGGUUGUAAAGCCCUUUUGUUGGGAAAGAAAUAAUUCAGGCUAAUACCCUGGGAGGAUGACGGUACCCAAAGAAUAAGCACCGGCUAACUGCGUG
rnacentral:rRNA from 1 species